rnacentral:rRNA from 1 species
UACGGAGGGAGCUAGCGUUGUUCGGAAUUACUGGGCGUAAAGCGCACGUAGGCGGCUUUGUAAGUUAGAGGUGAAAGCCCCGGAGCUCAACUCCGGAACUGCCUUUUAAGACUGCAUCGCUUGAAUCCAGGAGAGGUGAGUGGAAUUCCGAGUGUAGAGGUGAAAAUUCGUAGAUAUUCGGAAAGAACACCAGUGGCGAAGGCGGCUCACUGGACUGGGUAUUGACGC